GAUGAACGCUGGCGGCGUGCAUAGCACAUUCAAGUCGAACGGACAGUAGAAAUACUGUUAGUGGCGGACGGGUGAGUAACGCGUGAGCAAUCUGCCUUUCGGUGGGGAAUAACAGGGAGAAAUCGCUGCUAAUACCUCAUGAUGCAAGGACACCGCAUGAUGACCUUGCCAAAGAUUUAUCGCCGAAAGAUGAGCUCGCGUCCGAUUAGGUAGUUGGUGAGAUAAAAGCCCACCAAGCCGACGAUCGGUAGCCGGACUGAGAGGUUGAACGGCCACAUUGGAACUGAGAUACGGACCAGACUCCUACGGGAGGCAGCAGUGGGGAAUAUUGGGCAAUGGGCGCAAGCCUGACCCAGCGACGCCGUGUGAGGGAAGAAGGUCUUCGGAUUGUAAACCUUUGUCAACAGGGACGAACAGAUGACGGUACCUGUGGAGGAAGCCACGGCUAACUACGUGCCAGCCGCCGCAGUAAAAC
rnacentral:rRNA from 1 species